UACGAAGGGGGCUAGCGUUGCUCGGAAUCACUGGGCGUAAAGGGUGCGUAGGCGGGUCUUUAAGUCAGGGGUGAAAUCCUGGAGCUCAACUCCAGAACUGCCUUUGAUACUGAAGAUCUUGAGUUCGGGAGAGGUGAGUGGAACUGCGAGUGUAGAGGUGAAAUUCGUAGAUAUUCGCAAGAACACCAGUGGCGAAGGCGGCUCACUGGCCCGAUACUGACGCAGGCACGAAAGCGUGGGGAGCAAACAGG
rnacentral:rRNA from 1 species